rnacentral:lncRNA from 1 species
CCCACCCACCCACACACACACACAUAAACACAUAGACAGUGACCAGUGGAGAAGCAGCACAGGCUGUGUGGGAGUGAGAUGGAGAGUGUGUGUGUUUGAGAGUGGAAGUGUGUGGGAAGGCAAUGAGCCCACAGCUCCAUCUCAGCACGUACUCGGAGGAGUUCAGCCCCACCGGCCGCUGGAGAGCCUCUCAGCCCAGCCGACCCAGACCCUCCUCCGCUCACCGCCGGAACAACCCGCACCCUCGACCGGACUUCCUGUUUCCCCGGAAACUACAAACUGGAUGGGGGACUCGACCUCCUCAGCAGGUGAUGGUGCCACUGACACUAAUGAGCCCGUUGGCACAGGUGGCACAGGUGGCACCUCUUUUCCCCCCUGUCAGGCACAUCUCAGUGCAGUGCCCAGAGGAAAUGCCUGCACACCCACAGGCCAAGCAGAAGGCAGCAGAGAAAGAGGCGCCACUGAAAGUCACCUUGCACUCCCCUAAAGUGUGUGUGCUGCCCCCUGCUGACUGGCUGAGUAAAGUACAGUUCGUAGACACCCCUGUCAGGGAGAAACAACCUCCAACUUCCCUUCAGAGGAAGCAGGGGUACGCUCUUAUAUUAAUGG